CCUAGGGAGGCAGCAGUGGGGAAUAUUGGACAAUGGGGGAAACCCUGAUCCAGCCAUGCCGCGUGUGUGAAGAAGGCCCUCGGGUUGUAAAGCACUUUCAGCGAGGAAGAACGCCUAACGGUUAAUACCCGCUAGGAAAGACAUCACUCGCAGAAGAAGCACCGGCUAACUCCGUGCCAGCAGCCGCGGUAAUA
rnacentral:rRNA from 1 species